rnacentral:rRNA from 1 species
AGCGAACGCUGGCGGCAGGCCUAACACAUGCCAGUCGAACGGCAGCACAGUAAGAGCUUGCUCUUACGGGUGGCGAGUGGCGGAAGGGUGAGGUAUAUAUCGGAAUCUACUCUUUCGUGGGGGAUAACGUAGGGAAACUUACGCUAAUACCGCAUAUGACCCACGGGUGUAGGCAGGGGAUCGUUGGACCUUGCGCGAUUGAAUGAGCCGAUGUCGGAUUAGCUAGUUGGCGGGGUAAAGACCCACGAAGGCGGCGAUCCGUAGCUGGUCUGAGGGGAUGGUAGGCCACCUUGGAAGUGAGCCAGGGUCCAGACUCCUGCGGUAGGCCGCAGUCGGGAAUAUUAGGCAAUGGGGGCGAGCCUGAUCCAGCCAUACCGCGUGGGUGAAGAAGGCCUUCGGGUUGGAAAGCCCUUUUGUUGGGAGGGAAAAGCAGCAGGUUAAUACCCCGCUGUACUGACGGUACCCAGAGAAUAAGCACCGGCUAACUUCGUG